rnacentral:rRNA from 1 species
UUGGUGAAAUUUCUUGGAUCGUCGCAAGACGGACCGAAGCGAAAGCAUUUGCCAAGGAUGUUCUCGUUGAUCAAGAACGAAAGUUAGAGGUUCGAAGGCGAUCAGAUACCGCCCUAGUUCUAACCAUAAACGAUGUUGACUGGCCAUCCGAUAAAGGUCCUUUGAUGCCUUAUCGGGCAGCCUCCGGGAAACCAAAGUGUUUGAAUUCCGGGGGAAGUAUGGUUGCAAAGCUGAAACUUAAAGGAAUUGACGGAAGGGCACCACCAGGAGUGGAGCCUGCGGCUUAAUUUGACUCAACACGGGAAACCUCACCAGGCCCAGACACUGGAAGGAUUGACAGAUUGAGAGCUCUUUCUUGAUUCAGUGGGUGGUGGUGCAUGGCCGUUCUUAGUUGGUGGAGCGAUUUGUCUGCUUAAUUGCGAUAACGAACGAGACUCUAGCCUGCUAACUAGUCGUUUCCAGCUUCCUUUGUGCAGCUGGCGAAGACAAAUCUUCUUAGAGGGACAGGCGGCUUCUAGCCGCACGAGAUUGAGCAAUAACAGGUCUGUGAUGCCCUUAGAUGUCCGGGGCCGCACGCGAA